rnacentral:rRNA from 1 species
UACGUAGGGGGCGAGCGUUGUCCGGAAUUACUGGGCGUAAAGGGCGAGUAGGCGGUUAUACAAGUCAGAUGUGAAAUACCAGGGCUUAACCCUGGGGCUGCAUUUGAAACUGUAUAACUUGAGUACAGGAGAGGAAAGUGGAAUCCCCAGUGUAGCGGUGAAAUGCGUAGAUAUUGGGGGGAACACCAGUGGCGAAGGCGACUUUCUGGACUGUAACUGACGCUGAGGCGCGAAAGCGUGGGGAGCAAACAGG